rnacentral:rRNA from 1 species
CUGGAUGGCCGAUGGGGCCCAAAAGCUUACUGACGUCAGCCAAACUCCGAAUGCCGGUAAGUGAGAGCGCAGCAGUGAGACGGUGGGGGAUAAGCUUCAUCGUCGAGAGGGAAACAACCCAGACUACCAACUAAGGUCCCUAAGCGUGUGCUAAGUGGGAAAGGAUGUGGAGUUGCAUAGACAACCAGGAGGUUGGCUUAGAAGCAGCCACCCUUUAAAGAAAGCGUAAUAGCUCACUGGUCGAGUCGGUCCGCGCGGAAGAUGUAACGGGGCUAAAACUAGCAACCGAAGCUGCGGCUGCAUACAUUGUAUGUGGGGUAGGGGAGCGUUCUGUA